GAUGAAGAACGCAGCGAAAUGCGAUAAGUAAUGUGAAUUGCAGAAUUCAGUGAAUCAUCGAAUCUUUGAACGCACCUUGCGCCCUUUGGCUAUUCCGAAGGGCAUGCCUGUUUGAGUAUCAUGAACACCUCAACUCUCAUGGUUCGCCAUGAUGAGCUUGGACUUUGGGGGUCUUGCUGGCUUAUUGGUCGGCUCCUCUCAAAAGAAUCAGCUUGCCAGUGUUUGGUGGGAUCGCAGGUGUGAUAACUAUCUACGCUUGUGGCUUUCCAUCAAGUAACCUUCAGUAAUGGAGGUUCACUGGGGCUCAUAAACGUCUCUCCUCAGUGAGGACAGCUCUUUUGAAUGUUUGAUCUCAAAUCAGGUAGGACUACCCGCUGAACUUAAGCAUAUCAAUAAGCGGAGGA
rnacentral:misc_RNA from 1 species